rnacentral:rRNA from 1 species
UGGGGAAUAUUGCACAAUGGGGGAAACCCUGAUGCAGCGACGCCGCGUGAAGGAAAGAAGUAUCUCGGUAUGUAAACUUCUAUCAGCAGGGAAGAUAGUGACGGUACCUGACUAAGAAGCCCCGGCUAACUACGUGCC